ACACCUGACACUUGAGGUAGGUGAUAAAUGUGUUUAUAAAUUAUAUUCGAUGUUUUGAUUGGGAUUUUUAUCGAUGUUGAUUUAGAUGGGGUCUUUUAUGUCGAAUUACAGGACUGGAGUUUUUGGGAAUUUUGUUGGACUUUGGUGCUGUGAGUAGAAAGGUAUUAGAGGAUACUGUUUCUCUAUUACCUUAGAGUAGCUAAUAUAGGUGGGUUCCAAGCAUAGUUCGUUAAUUCGGAUUCGGCAAAAAUUCGGUACGGAUAUAAUUCAGAUAAAAUUCGUCUCCUAAUUUUUAAAUUCGUUAAAAAGUACGGCGAUAAAAUGAAUUCGUCAAUUAUUCGGAUACAUGAUUUAUACGGAUAUUAUACGUUCAUCAAUUAAAAAUUCGGAAUAAAAAAUUCGGCUAUUAAAUUAAGUUUUUUUUCUCUUAAGAUUUAUGUUACUAGUAUGAAUACUCAUAUUUCUUAAGAAUAUAAAAAUAAAUAGCUACAAAAUUAAGUUAAUUAAGUAAAAAAGUUGAAAAGAUUUUUUUUUUUUUCCUGUUUUUGGGUGAGGUGUUUAGAAAGGAGAUUUUUGGGGAUUUCUUCUGUUUUGGGCUAGCCGGCCUGCGAGG
rnacentral:lncRNA from 1 species